GAUGAACGCUAGCGGCGUGCUUAACACAUGCAAGUCGAACGAAGCUGUUAAAAGGAAGUCUUCGGAUGGAAUUUUAACAGACUUAGUGGCGGACGGGUGAGUAACGCGUGGAUAACCUGCCUUAUACAGGGGGAUAACGGAGAGAAAUUUCCGCUAAGACCGCAUAAGACCACAGCACCGCAUGGUGCAGGGGCAAAAUAUUAAUAGGUAUAAGAUGGAUCCGCGUCCGAUUAGCUUGUUGGUGAGGUAGAGGCUCACCAAGGCGACGAUCGGUAGCCGGCCUGAGAGGGUGAACGGCCACAUUGGGACUGAGACACGGCCCAAACUCCUACGGGAGGCAGCAGUGGGGAAUAUUGGACAAUGGGGGAAACCCUGAUCCAGCGACGCCGCGUGAGUGAAGAAGUAUUUCGGUAUGUAAAGCUCUAUCAGCAGGGAAGAA
rnacentral:rRNA from 1 species